rnacentral:lncRNA from 1 species
UAAACAAUUGCCGGUAGUUUUACAAGGUUUGACCGGUGAAAAAACUUUAAGUUCAGACGAGGCGAGUUGUUCGCAUAAUUUGCCCCCUACCAAGUACAUUUCGUUCGGUCUGAAAGAAUCUCAAGAAAAACCCUUAGAUGCCAUGGAUAUCCCCGAUCCUAUCUUCGCGUCGAAGGUGCUGGAUGCGGUAAUAAAAUCAUUGGAGGAUCCGAUGCACGUGGCGACGAAGAAGAACGAUGCGAAUAUGGAUUACUUGAUCGGGAGUUAUAUGAAUGUUUACCGGAGGAUGGCAAAUACGUUAAACGUAGCCCAGGUUUUUGUGGAGGAUUCUAAAUAUAAUAAUAUCAAAGAGAAUGCUAUGCAUGUGGUAGAUCGAUUAGGUUAAAUUUUUCUAUUAGCUUUUUCGUUUGAUGUAUUCUGGAGGUUAAACAGAAAAUACAAAUUAAAAAUAACCAAGAACAGCAAAAAUUUACUAUUGGAGAUCGAUUUGGGCGAGUGACUGAUCGAUCUAUUUGAUUUUUAGUUAGAGUUUUUUUCUUCCAGAAUUCUAUUUGAUAUCAUUUUUAGUUGAAGUAUUGAUUAUGUUUUUUAUAAUUUAUAGUUUAUAAGAUUAUAAAUUUCUAUUGGGGACAUGUAUAGUCCGAGCUGAAGAUUUCAAUUUCUAUCUCCAUGUACCUAGGGUGUCAAACAAGUCGA